UACGAAGGUGGCAAGCGUUACUCGGAAUUACUAGGCGUAAAGGGCAGGUAGGUGGUCUGAUAAGUCUGUUGUGUAAGCUCCCGGCUUAACUGGGAGAGGUCAACGGAAACUAUCAGGCUUGAGUAUAGGAGAGGAUACUGGAAUUCCCGGUGUAGCGGUGAAAUGCGCAGAGAUCGGGAGGAACACCAAUGGCGAAAGCAGGUAUCUGGACUAUUACUGACACUCAGCUGCGAAAGCUAGGGGAGCAAACAGG
rnacentral:rRNA from 1 species